GAUGAACGCUGGCGGCGUGCCUAAUACAUGCAAGUCGAGCGAACAGACGAGGAGCUUGCUCCGCUCACGUUAGCGGCGGACGGGUGAGUAACACGUGGAUAACCUGCCUAGAAGACUGGGAUAACUACGGGAAACCGGAGCUAAUACCGGAUAAGAUAUUGAACCGCAUGGUUCAUUAGUGAAAGACGGAUUUGCUGUACCUUCUAGUGGAAUCCGCGCCGCAUUAGCUAGUUGGUAAGGUAACGGCUUACCAAGGCAACGAUGCGUAGCCGACCUGAGAGGUUGAUCGGCCACACUGGAACUGAGACACGGUCCAGACUCCUACGGGAGGCAGCAGUAGGGAAUCUUGCGCAAUGGGCGAAAGCUUGACGGAGCAACGCCGCGUGGGUGAUGAAGGUCUUCGGAUCGUAAAACUCUGUUAGUAGGGAGGAACAGAUGUGGAAGUAAAUAUGCACGUCUUGACGGUACCUAAUCAGAAAGCAACGGCUAACUACGUG
rnacentral:rRNA from 1 species